AGACCCCUACUAGCAACUAGAAUGCAUGUCUGGACUCUUGAACUCACACAGGUCCUGCUUGGUGAUCCUAAACCAUUGAUGCUUCCACCUCUUGCAGCAAUACAUCUUCCUUCUUGCGUUUUCAUAUGACGAUUUUAAGAACGUUCAGCCCUCCAUUGCAAUGGCAUAUCCUUCUGAUUGGCCCUGGCUUUCAUGGCAAGCAUGUUGCCCAACCCUGUUUUCUGUCUAACUUUUGAGUCCAUUUCGAUUUGUUUUGCAGUUUGGUUUGCUGCGGUAUUCUCUUUGGUUGCGGGGAGUGAAGGUAGCAUUGAUUUUUUCAGUUUGAUUUGCUGCGUUGUUCUCUUUGGUUGUGGGGAGUGAAGGUCUGAACAAGCAGAAAUGGUCAUAACUGAUUCUCAUGGAGAUGCAAUCUAUGUUGUCUGCAAACAAGAUCAGCUAAAGUCUUGGAAGACUAAUUUGAUGGAAAAUUGUACUUAUGUAAUGCAUAAUUUUAAAGUCAUGAAGAAUGAUGGUCAAUUUAGAAUCUGUGAUCACCAGUAUAAAUUAGUUUUUACUGACUGUUGUGAGGAAAUCUGAUUUGGAGGAUCUUCCCUUUAAGAAAUAUAAAUUUGCUGAUUUCACCAAUAUCAUUGUUGGGCUCUUCCAACCUAAGUUGUUGGUUGGUAAGUUCAGUUGCAAUUUGUUCAAUAGUUUGUUCACAAAAUUAUAGCUCUUUUGAUGACAUUUUUUAUUUUAUGAUUUCUUGAGACAUUAUUGGCGUCGUGGAUGAGGUGGUCUAUCGCCAUGUGGGAUCAAA